UCUAACUGAAGAGCAAGGACACGAUAUAAAUAGCAGAAUUCCUUCCCAAACGGCAAUGUGGGUCAAUCCACAGCAAGUGGACCUCAACGAUUCAAGGCAGCUCACCCCCACCUUCUCAAGGGCAGAUAGGGCUGGCCUGUUAAUCCUGGCCAGCCAGCAACGCUCAUGUCCCACAAAUGAAUUUUUAAAAUUGUUUCUGUUGUACUGCUCUUUUACAGAUGGUGACACUCAACAGUUCAACCAGGUUUCAACUCCUCGCCUUCUGUAUGUCAGCAAUUAGGAAUGUGUUACCACUACCAGUCGAUGGAAAAAAUAAAUGACCCUCCCCCAUUUCCUUUUGUUCACUGUCUGCCUUCCACUGCAGAGAGGAAAUACGAGACAACAAGUUCUGUUCUCGGCCGGACUACAGAAACAGCCCAGCACUUUAAUGCGAAUGCUGAAGAUCACGUGGAUCUGCUCAGAAGCUGAUGACAGUCUGGAGGAGUUUGACAGCUGGGGAAGUUGCAAAGACAUCUGGAGUAAGGAUUUGGGCAGAGGCCUCAAAGGUUGAGGGGAUCUUUACUACCCACGGCAGCACAGCUUGAAAGGCCUGGGUUUAAGUUGGGGCUUUGUGCUUUAUUGGAACUUCUGCUGAAUCUGAAUGCCUGCACUUUUUGAACCUCUGACCUUGACUGUUUAUAUUUGCAAAUGCUUUGUUCCCACCCAACUGUACAUUUGCCUGGAGGAGUUUAAUUAAAGGAUGCUGCAUUG